UACCCACUCUCUGUCUCUUUUUCCCUCUCCCUCUUCCCCACCCCCAUCUCUUUCUCUUCACACACAAGAACACAUGCAAAUGCAUGAUAGUAUUUAUUACUUGAAAACCUAAAAUUCCUGCUACUGUAGAUCCUUACAGUGUCCAGCUCUGUAUCCGUUAGUAUUGUUCAGUUUCUGCUCUUAUAAUGCUUGCUAUAAUGGCUUCUGCUUGUCACACUUUGCUGGAAUAUGAGGUUCUCGUUAAAAAAAUAGAGGAAGGGGAAAAAUAUAAAGUGAGAAAAUAGAUGCCGCUCAAUAGUCCUUUUUUCACAUAAGAGGGUGGGAAUGAGGGAACUAAAUGGAAGACUUAAUGAACUCUUCGGCAUUACAGUUGAUGCAGUAAGAUGGAGCUUGCCUUCACGUCUUUGUAAUAAGGUCUUCUCCGAAGCUAAUAGGAACCAUUCCUCAGCUUAUUUUUAGAAUGCUAAUUCAAUUGAAUUUGCACCAUGUAGACAGACUUUAGGAUGUAAAUGAGUAAACGAAUUGGAUGGUCCAGUUAUGCAAUUAAUUCAAGCAAUUAAAUGUAAGUAAGAGCCUCAACUACAUGGGAAUUUAUUCUCCAAAAAGGAUGAGGGCCAUGAAGAUUUUGUAAAUAACGUUGUCUGAUUCCCAGGCACUGUAAUUUUAAGCAUUCAAAAAAUGGCUGGACUGAUGUGGUGUAAUAAGUAAUUAUUUGCAAUUGUAUACUAAUUUGCCAUUGCUAGGAGCCCUCACACUCUUGUCGUUUUAAGAAAAGGAAAUGCUUGAACUGGUCAUGAUGACUAGCAUGCAACCAUUAUAAACUAAAUAUCACUUCUUUGUGAUAUUUGAUAUUUUAAUCUUUGACGGUUAAAUUGAUUUUCAUCUCCUGUUUGGACCUCUAUAUGAACUGGCAUUAGGUGCUAUACUACAGCGAAUGGAGCUGAUAAUAGAGGUCAAGGUAGUCCUAAAAUCACAUUGAGAAAAGUUACCGAAGACCUAUAUCUCUCUCUGAGUCAGUGCAGGUCUUAGCUUAGGAACAUAAUACAAUUGAAGUGAAAACAUCUAUCUAGGCUAUAACAACUUGUAAAAAAAUGUUCGGUUCUUACAUUUCGCUCGGUCCUAUAUGUGCCUGGAGUUUUUCUUAUUUUGUUUAAGAAACAUUUAUGUCCUAGUGGAAAUAUGAGAUCAGGAAAACCUCAAGUAUCCCUUGAAAUGCAAAUUAUUUUAUAUUGGAGUAAAGUAGGCUUGAUAUGAGAGGAAUAGGUAUGGUCGAGAGCUAGUAUAGGAGUGAGAUAUAGUUGAUUGAUUUAUUCAUUGCGGUAAAGUAAAAUGCCAGGGACAAUUAUUUCAUUUGUUUUUGUGGAGUAAGUAUAUUUCUGUAACCAAUAUGAUUUGGCAUGGUAUACUCUGUGUGUAAUUGUCUGUAGGAUGAGAUCAUACAAGUUAGUAAAGCUCAAACAAAAUAUGUAAAAGAAUGUAGUUGUAUUCUGCUGAUGGAUGGGGUUCACAUUACUUGAUACCUGUUAUUUAACGUGUCUGUAAGCAUUUGACCUCUUUUAUGCUGUGAA